UACGUAGGGUGCGAGCGUUAAUCGGAAUUACUGGGCGUAAAGCGUGCGCAGGCGGUUUUGUAAGCCGGAUGUGAAAUCCCCGGGCUUAACCUGGGAAUGGCAUUCGGGACUGCAAGGCUGGAGUGCGGCAGAGGAGACUGGAAUUCCUGGUGUAGCAGUGAAAUGCGUAGAUAUCAGGAGGAACACCGAUGGCGAAGGCAGGUCUCUGGGCUGACACUGACGCUCAGGCGCGACAGCGUGGGGAUCAAACAGG
rnacentral:rRNA from 1 species